UCCCCGUUUUCCGGGGCAGUCUCUGUAGAGUUCCCGGCAUUACCCGCUGGCAACUACAGACAAGGGUUGCGCUCGUUGCGGGACUUAACCCAACAUCUCACGACACGAGCUGACGACAGCCAUGCACCACCUGUGCACGAGCCCCGAAGGGCUGCCGUGUUUCCACGACAUUCCCGUGCAUGUCAAGCCUUGGUAAGGUUCUUCGCGUUGCGUCGAAUUAAACCACAUGCACCACCGCUUGUGCGGGCCCCCGUCAAUUUCUUUGAGUUUUAAUCCUGCGACCGUACUCCCCAGGCGGCGCGUUUAACGCGUUAGCUCCGGCACAGAAGGGGUCGAAUCCUCCCACACCAAACGCGCACCGUUUACUGCCAGGACUAC
rnacentral:misc_RNA from 1 species